AUUUAAUUAAAAAAGGGAUUUUUUAGGUUUUUUUACCUGCUCAGAUUGAACGCUGGCGGCAGGCUUAACACAUGCAAGUCGAGCGGAGAGAGGUAGCUUGCUACUGAUCUUAGCGGCGGACGGGUGAGUAAUGCUUAGGAAUCUGCCUAUUAGUGGGGGACAACAUUUCGAAAGGAAUGCUAAUACCGCAUACGUCCUACGGGAGAAAGCAGGGGAUCUUCGGACCUUGCGCUAAUAGAUGAGCCUAAGUCGGAUUAGCUAGUUGGUGGGGUAAAGGCCUACCAAGGCGACGAUCUGUAGCGGGUCUGAGAGGAUGAUCCGCCACACUGGGACUGAGACACGGCCCAGACUCCUACGGGAGGCAGCAGUGGGGAAUAUUGGACAAUGGGCGCAAGCCUGAUCCAGCCAUGCCGCGUGUGUGAAGAAGGCCUUAUGGUUGUAAAGCACUUUAAGCGAGGAGGAGGCUACUUUAGAUAAUACCUAGAGAUAGUGGACGUUACUCGCAGAAUAAGCACCGGCUAACUCUGUGCCAGCAGCCGCGGUAAUACAGAGGGUGCAAGCGUUAAUCGGAUUUACUGGGCGUAAAGCGCGCGUAGGCGGCUAAUUAAGUCAAAUGUGAAAUCCCCGAGCUUAACUUGGGAAUUGCAUUCGAUACUGGUUAGCUAGAGUGUGGGAGAGGAUGGUAGAAUUCCAGGUGUAGCGGUGAAAUGCGUAGAGAUCUGGAGGAAUACCGAUGGCGAAGGCAGCCAUCUGGCCUAACACUGACGCUGAGGUGCGAAAGCAUGGGGAGCAAACAGGAUUAGAUACCCUGGUAGUCCAUGCCGUAAACGAUGUCUACUAGCCGUUGGGGCCUUUGAGGCUUUAGUGGCGCAGCUAACGCGAUAAGUAGACCGCCUGGGGAGUACGGUCGCAAGACUAAAACUCAAAUGAAUUGACGGGGGCCCGCACAAGCGGUGGAGCAUGUGGUUUAAUUCGAUGCAACGCGAAGAACCUUACCUGGCCUUGACAUAGUAAGAACUUUCCAGAGAUGGAUUGGUGCCUUCGGGAACUUACAUACAGGUGCUGCAUGGCUGUCGUCAGCUCGUGUCGUGAGAUGUUGGGUUAAGUCCCGCAACGAGCGCAACCCUUUUCCUUAUUUGCCAGCGAGUAAUGUCGGGAACUUUAAGGAUACUGCCAGUGACAAACUGGAGGAAGGCGGGGACGACGUCAAGUCAUCAUGGCCCUUACGGCCAGGGCUACACACGUGCUACAAUGGUCGGUACAAAGGGUUGCUACCUAGCGAUAGGAUGCUAAUCUCAAAAAGCCGAUCGUAGUCCGGAUUGGAGUCUGCAACUCGACUCCAUGAAGUCGGAAUCGCUAGUAAUCGCGGAUCAGAAUGCCGCGGUGAAUACGUUCCCGGGCCUUGUACACACCGCCCGUCACACCAUGGGGAGUUUGUUGCACCAGAAGUAGCUAGCCUAACUGCAAAGAGGGCGGUUACCACGGUGUGGCCGAUGACUGGGGUGAAUCUAGAAAAGAAACCCCACAGACAAAAAAAAAGAGGG
rnacentral:rRNA from 1 species